UCCUACGGGGGGCAGCAGUGGGGAAUAUUGCACAAUGGGGGAAACCCUGAUGCAGCGACGCCGCGUGAGUGAAGAAGUAUCUCGGUAUGUAAAGCUCUAUCAGCAGGAAAGAUAAUGACGGUACCUGACUAAGAAGCCCCGGCUAACUACGUGCCAGCAGCCGCGGUAAUACGUAGGGGGCAAGCGUUAUCCGGAUUUACUGGGUGUAAAGGGAGCGUAGGCGGAAGAUCAAGUCAGCGGUAAAAUUGAGAGGCUCAACCUCUUCGAGCCGUUGAAACUGGUUUUCUUGAGUGAGCGAGAAGUAU
rnacentral:rRNA from 1 species